ACGAACGCUGGCGGCACGCUUAACACAUGCAAGUCGAACGAGAGAAGAGGAGCUUGCUUUUCUGAUCUAGUGGCGGACGGGUGAGUAACACGUGAGCAAUCUGCCUUUCAGAGGGGGAUACCGAUUGGAAACGAUCGUUAAUACCGCAUAACAUAAUUGAACCGCAUGAUUUGAUUAUCAAAGAUUUAUCGCUGAAAGAUGAGCUCGCGUCUGAUUAGCUAGUUGGUAAGGUAACGGCUUACCAAGGCGACGAUCAGUAGCCGGACUGAGAGGUUGAUCGGCCACAUUGGGACUGAGACACGGCCCAGACUCCUACGGGAGGCAGCAGUGGGGAAUAUUGCACAAUGGAGGAAACUCUGAUGCAGCGAUGCCGCGUGAGGGAAGAAGGUUUUAGGAUUGUAAACCUCUGUCUUCAGGGACGAAAAAAGACGGUACCUGAGGAGGAAGCUCCGGCUAACUACGUGCCAGCAGCCGCGGUAAUACGUAGGGAGCGAGCGUUGUCCGGAAUUACUGGGUGUAAAGGGAGCGUAGGCGGGAUCGCAAGUCAGAUGUGAAAACUAUGGGCUUAACCCAUAAACUGCAUUUGAAACUGUGGUUCUUGAGUGAAGUAGAGGUAAGCGGAAUUCCUAGUGUAGCGGUGAAAUGCGUAGAUAUUAGGAGGAACAUCAGUGGCGAAGGCGGCUUACUGGGCUUUAACUGACGCUGAGGCUCGAAAGCGUGGGGAGCAAACAGGAUUAGAUACCCUGGUAGUCCACGCCGUAAACGAUGAUUACUCGCUGUAGGCGAUAUACGGUCUGCGGCCAAGCGAAAGCAUUAAGUAUUCCACCUGGGGAGUACGCCGGCAACGGUGAAACUCAAAGGAAUUGACGGGGGCCCGCACAAGCAGUGGAGUAUGUGGAUUAAUUCGAAGCAACGCGAAGAACCUUACCAGGUCUUGACAUCGUAUGCAUAGCUCAGAGAUGAGUGAAAUCUCUUCGGAGACAUAUAGACAGGUGGUGCAUGGUUGUCGUCAGCUCGUGUCGUGAGAUGUUGGGUUAAGUCCCGCAACGAGCGCAACCCUUACUGUUAGUUGCUACGCAAGAGCACUCUAGCAGGACUGCCGUUGACAAAACGGAGGAAGGUGGGGAUGACGUCAAAUCAUCAUGCCCCUUAUGACCUGGGCCUCACACGUACUACAAUGGCUGUCAACAGAGGGAAGCAAAGCCGCGAGGUGGAGCAAACCCCUAAAAGCAGUCUUAGUUCGGAUUGUAGGCUGCAACCCGCCUACAUGAAGUCGGAAUUGCUAGUAAUCGCAGAUCAGCAUGCUGCGGUGAAUACGUUCCCGGGCCUUGUACACACCGCCCGUCACGCCAUGGGAGUCGGUAACACCCGAAGCCUGUAGUCUAACCGCAAGGAGGACGCAGUCGAAGGUGGGAUUGAUGACUGGGGUG
rnacentral:rRNA from 1 species